rnacentral:misc_RNA from 1 species
GACAGAAGGUGCAAGCGUUACUCGGAAUUACUGGGCGUAAAGCGUCUGUAGGCGUCCUGUUGCGUCUGGUGUGAAAUCCCGGGGCUCAACUCCGGGCUCGUGCCGGAAACGAACAGGAUCGAGUCAGUCAGAGGCAUCUGGAAUGUCGCGUGUAGGGGUAAAAUCCGUUGAUACGCGAUGGAACGCCAAAAGCGAAGGCAGGAUGCUGGGACUGUACUGACGCUCAGAGACGAAAGCGUGGGGAGCAAAGGGG